UACGGGGGGGGCAAGCGUUGUUCGGAAUUACUGGGCGUAAAGGGCUCGUAGGCGGCCAACUAAGUCAGACGUGAAAUCCCUCGGCUUAACCGGGGAACUGCGUCUGAUACUGGAUGGCUCGAGUUUGGGAGAGGGAUGCGGAAUUCCAGGUGUAGCGGUGAAAUGCGUAGAUAUCCGGAAGAACACCGGUGGCGAAGGCGGCCUGCUGGGCAGUUGCUGACACUGAGGCGCGAAAGCGUGGGGAGCAAACAGG
rnacentral:rRNA from 1 species